rnacentral:rRNA from 1 species
CCUACGGGUGGCUGCAGUGGGGAAUAUUGGACAAUGGGCGAAAGCCUGAUCCAGCCAUGCCGCGUGUGUGAAGAAGGCCUUCGGGUUGUAAAGCACUUUCAGUGGGGAAGAAAGCCUUGGGGCUAAUACCCUCGAGGAAGGACAUCACCCACAGAAGAAGCACCGGCUAACUCCGUGCCAGCAGCCGCGGUAAUACGGAGGGUGCGAGCGUUAAUCGGAAUUACUGGGCGUAAAGCGCGCGUAGGCGGUCUGAUAAGCCGGUUGUGAAAGCCCCGGGCUCAACCUGGGAACGGCAUCCGGAACUGUCAGGCUAGAGUGCAGGAGAGGAAGGUAGAAUUCCCGGUGUAGCGGUGAAAUGCGUAGAGAUCGGGAGGAAUACCAGUGGCGAAGGCGGCCUUCUGGAAUGACACUGACGCUGAGGUGCGAAAGCGUGGGUAGCAAACAGGAUUAGAUACCCCAGUAGUC